rnacentral:rRNA from 1 species
GUGCCAGCAGCCGCGGUAAUACGUACUGUGCGAACGUUAUUCGGAAUCAUUGGGCUUAAAGGGUACGUAGGCGGCGCUGUCAGUCGGGUGUGAAAGCCCUCGGCUCAACCGAGGAAUUGCGCCCGAUACUGCAGUGCUUGAGGGAGACAGAGGUAAGCGGAACUGAUGGUGGAGCGGUGAAAUGCGUUGAUAUCAUCAGGAACACCAGUGGCGAAAGCGGCUUACUGGGUCUCUUCUGACGCUGAGGUACGAAAGCUAGGGGGGCGAACGGGAUUAGAUACCCCGGUAGUCCUAGCUGUAAACGCGGAGCACUUGAUCGAGGAUCCCCCCAUAGGUUCUCGGUCGUAGCGAAAGUGGUAAGUGCUCCGCCUGGGGAGUAUGGUCGCAAGGCUGAAACUUAAAGGAAUUGGCGGGG